UACGGGGGGGGCAAGCGUUGUUCGGAAUUACUGGGCGUAGAGGGCUCGUAGGCGGCCAACUAAGUCAGACGUGAAAUCCCACGGCUUAACCGGGGAACUGCGUCCGAUACUGGAUGGCUUGAGGUUGGGAGAGGGAUGCGGAAUUCCAGGUGUAGCGGUGAAAUGCGUAGAUAUCUGGAGGAACACCGGUGGCGAAGGCGGCAUCCUGGACCAAUUCUGACGCUGAGUGAGCGAAAGCCAGGGGAGCAAACGGG
rnacentral:rRNA from 1 species